CAACAGUGAUGAGCACUUUAUCCCGAAGCUGAUCAUUCAUUGAUGAGCCAAAAAUUAUGGAUCUGAUUGCUGAGUU